GUGUUUGUGACAUGUAUUUUGUCAUGUAAGUGGCCUUUUGAGGUCUCAAAAAAAAAGGUGUUAAAUUUACACGACCUUCUUAUCUGUUGACAGCUACAUUUUCCUAAUCAGAAGAAGCAAGUUUAGAGCACAGUUGUUAUUGCUGCUCCUGUUAUUUUUCAAACUUCCUGAUGGCAAUUGUGUCAAAUGUCAGUAUUUGAAGAAGGUGAAGGAGCUGAUCAAGUUAAAUUCCGAGAUUGCUUUGUCAUCAUAAAAGGGUAAAGAGUGACUGCAAAUACUCUUCAUGAAAAGCAAAUGGAAUAUCUGAAGCUUUUUUCACUGGUUUUGCUUGAGUGGAGUAAAUCCCAGUUCAUGGUGGCAGGCAUGAGUGAAGGGCAAGAAUCCAGGGAAAAUGUGCGCCAACACUCACAAAUGAAAUAACUGGGAGUUGGUUCCUCCUUGCACACUUAAGGCUGGAAGUCAGUGACAAUUAGUGGUGAAAGUCACUCUUUCCCCCAGCAGAACUUUGCCUUAUGUCUUUACUGACAAUCUCCUAUUGGGGUUUGUCAAGUAUCUCUUCUGGAGCACGAAUGACACUACACCAGACAGCUCCUAAUAUCUUUUACUCUGUACAAGAAAAGCUAUUCCACUUCACCCUUGAGGUUUCAGAGUGGAGCUUUUCCAAGCUAAGUGCACAGAGUUUUAAAGAAGCGUAUAUAUGUUAGCGUGUAUAUUGUAAAUACACACACACAGAUAUAUAUACAUAUUGACACGCUCAUAGUUUAUUAAUGUUCUUAUGUCUGUAAAUACUGAUGAUAUAGGAAAAUGUAAUAUGACCUUAUAAAAAUAAUUUGUUAGUACAUAGUAAAGUACAGGCUCCCACUGCAACUCAGUUGUUAUUUAUAAUUAACAAAAGUAGGUUUCCCAGACACAAAUGGGAACUAUUGUGGUUUAACCAUAUUUUGAUUUUUGGUUGUUUAAAAAUUUCUGUGACUAAUCUCUUCAUUAUAAGUUCAGGGUAGCUUGAGUAAUGCAGUGCUGAGAGCAACUGAAUCUGCUCACUGCUGACUCCAAACCCCCUGCGCAUCUUCAGUGUGUAGCUACUACUCUGGAGCGUACAUACCUGCAAUUGUCUGGCUUUCAUUGGCAGGUAUAUAGGAAAUUAGAUGUGGUAUUUGAUGGCUCAGUUUCGUUUUGGGGGGUUUACAGUGUUGAUCUCAGCAGAGUUUAGACAAUGUGAUCUUACUGAAGUGCAGUAUUGGACAGAAGUGAGAAAUGUGCUUAUUCAGAAAUCCAGCUGUCAAGUGCUUUAAAAACUUCUCUGUUGGAUGUGGAUACCACUGCAUGGAGCACAAUAAAGAAGAAAUAUUUGCCUUAGGAAUUAUGCUGUCCUUACUCAGCAUCUUUUUGUAACUACAUUGUUAACCAGAACUCGCCGUGUUGCUGUGUGAGCUGAUGAAUGGAUUGGCAUUGACGUAGUGAGUCUUUUUUUCCGGUGUCAAAACAUUACAGUGCAUUUAGAGCUGCCCCUGGCUAAAGCCAUUUUAAGUGAGAGAGAGAAAGAGUAUGAACGAGAUUUACAGUAAAGGUCUUUUCUUCUUUGUAGAUCGCUGAAGGGUGGAGGGAGAGCCUCCCCCUGCCUGUCAGUGUGAACUUGGCUGUUCUACGUAGCAGCACCCAGGGUUCCCUGCAAGGUUGAAGCAAUGAGAAAAUACAUACCUAGAUUCCAUGUAUUUACUAAAAAGGAGAAUUUUGGAUUGCAAAAUGACGCGCCGGAUUCUGCUAGAGACAUGCUAUUGAAGCCUUAGCGGAGCUUUGGUUCGUCGUAAUGCCCAUCCCUCCUCUGACUUGUAGCUGUGGCACACCUGCUCGUCCACUCCUUUUCACCUGUUCAUCUUUUCCCCCUGCAUGCCCUAAAGGGCUCAUUCCGACGAGGAAGCCUCUCUUCCCUAUUCGUCCAGCGAUCGCUCACA